UGGGGAAUAUUGGACAAUGGGCGAAAGCCUGAUCCAGCCAUGCCGCGUGUGUGAAGAAGGUCUUCGGAUUGUAAAGCACUUUAAGUUGGGAGGAAGGGCAGUAAGCGAAUACCUUGCUGUUUUGACGUUACCGACAGAAUAAGCACCGGCUAACUCUGUGCCAGCAGCCGCGGUAAUACAGAGGGUGCAAGCGUUAAUCGGAAUUACUGGGCGUAAAGCGCGCGUAGGUGGUUCGUUAAGUUGAAUGUGAAAGCCCCGGGCUCAACCUGGGAACUGCAUCCAAAACUGGCGAGCUAGAGUAGGGCAGAGGGUGGUGGAAUUCCAGGUGUAGCGGUGAAAUGCGUAGAUAUAGGAAGGAACACCAGUGGCGAAGGCGACCACCUGGGCUCAUACUGACACUGAGGUGCGAAAGCGUGGGGAGCAAACAGG
rnacentral:rRNA from 1 species